UGUGCAGUUGAACAGUGUCAAAGCAGCAUCUCUAUCUCUCUCUCUCUCUCUCUCUCUCUCUCUCUCUCUCUCUCUCUCUCUCUCUAUGUCCAAUGAUAUUCAUGAAAUUUGAGCUCUUUGGAUUAUUGAAGUGGACAAGACUUGUGCAGUUGAACAGUGUCCAAGCAGCAUCUCUCUCUCUCUCUCUCUCUCUCUCUUUUAUGGUCUCAAAUUGGUAGAAGCUGACCAGGAGUUUGCAUUUUCUCUAGUGCUAAACCAACCAGGUGGAUCUCGAGCCAUCCUUUUGGUCUUAUAAUGGCUUAUGGUUGCUGAGUGCUUGGCCUCUCUGUAUGGUUUAGACUCUGAUGGGGGAUUUUCCUUCUUCUUUUGUUUUUGUUUUGUUUUGAUUAAUUCUAUUUGUUGCCAAUUAGUUUUCAUAAUCUUGUAGGUCUAGGCAGGCUUAAAAAGGGCUAAAAAGUAUUUGAAGUUCUGGUGUAAAUUUUGGUAACAUUUUCUUCUGCAUCAUCUCAUUUUAACAUUAUGGUGGUCAUUUAGGAACUCAAAUGAUUAGAUUAUCACUUGAAUUGAAAUCACAAAGAUGAAAUAAGAGAAGUGAAACUCAUC
rnacentral:lncRNA from 1 species